GGGUGGAUUAGUGGCGAACGGGUGAGUAACACGUGGGCAAUCUGCCCUUCACUCUGGGACAAGCCCUGGAAACGGGGUCUAAUACCGGAUACCACUCCUGCCCGCAUGGGUGGGGGUUGAAAGCUCCGGCGGUGAAGGAUGAGCCCGCGGCCUAUCAGCUUGUUGGUGGGGUAAUGGCCCACCAAGGCGACGACGGGUAGCCGGCCUGAGAGGGCGACCGGCCACACUGGGACUGAGACACGGCCCAGACUCCUACGGGAGGCAGCAGUGGGGAAUAUUGCACAAUGGGCGAAAGCCUGAUGCAGCGACGCCGCGUGAGGGAUGACGGCCUUCGGGUUGUAAACCUCUUUCAGCAGGGAAGAAGCGAAAGUGACGGUACCUGCAGAAGAAGCGCCGGCUAACUACGUGCCAGCAGCCGCGGUAAUACGUAGGGCGCAAGCGUUGUCCGGAAUUAUUGGGCGUAAAGAGCUCGUAGGCGGCUUGUCACGUCGGAUGUGAAAGCCCGAGGCUUAACCUCGGGUCUGCAUUCGAUACGGGCUAGCUAGAGUGUGGUAGGGGAGAUCGGAAUUCCUGGUGUAGCGGUGAAAUGCGCAGAUAUCAGGAGGAACACCGGUGGCGAAGGCGGAUCUCUGGGCCAUUACUGACGCUGAGGAGCGAAAGCGUGGGGAGCGAACAGGAUUAGAUACCCUGGUAGUCCACGCCGUAAACGUUGGGAACUAGGUGUUGGCGACAUUCCACGUCGUCGGUGCCGCAGCUAACGCAUUAAGUUCCCCGCCUGGGGAGUACGGCCGCAAGGCUAAAACUCAGAGGAAUUGACGGGGGCCCGCACAAGCGGCGGAGCAUGUGGCUUAAUUCGACGCAACGCGAAGAACCUUACCAAGGCUUGACAUAUACCGGAAAGCAUUAG
rnacentral:rRNA from 1 species